GGAAGCGUGCCAGAGUGGUUGAAUGGGCCGCACUCGAAAUGCGGUAUACGGGUAACCGUAUCGGAGGUUCGAAUCCUCCCGCUUCCGCAA
rnacentral:tRNA from 1 species